UUGGCAAAAGUAAAUUUGCCUCUUCAAAUCCUGUACAGUGUUUCAAAUGUCUUACCCCAUAUGACUUCCCUGUAAUCCUGUUGUUGCUUGCCUAAACUUUGUUCUUUGCUUCAGGUACAUAGUCAUUGUGCACUCCGGCUGGCAGCACCUCAAACUGAUUAGUACCGAAAAUACCUGAUACCACCAGAUGUGUGUGUAACCUGCUCAACACCUCCACUAUUUAUGCAAACAAUGAGGUCAGCCUGGCUGAGGUGGACAUCUAUGGGUUUGACUAUGACUACACCAUGGCCUUCUACUACAACACCCUCAACAACAUGAUCUAUAACACUGCCAGACUUCCUCAUCGAGAACUACAAGGUUUGUGUGCUCUAACUAAACUGCCAAUACACUACCACAUACUGGUCAUUUUCUGCUCUUGUUUGACAGAAUCCUGAAGGUAUCUGCCUAUAUUACUACAUCCCAAACUUCACCGCACGGGGUCUUCACUAUGAUAUUCAAAAGAUAGAUGCUUUCCAUUACAUUCAGCUGGGGACUGUGUAUCAGUGAGUUCUGUUUAUGGGUAGGUGAAUAACACUCUGCAAUGUAUGGGUCAGUCAGUGUACUAAACAUAUACAUAUAAUGAAUAUAACAUGCUUGAAACUCUAACCCUGGCAAUUUCACUGGUGAACUCAUGGGUACACUCACAAUGGCUGCCUGGUAUUGUGAUGGAAUCAUUUCCAGGGUAUUUUGGAAUGUUCUAUAAACUGAUGCUGGGUUGCCAUGCUAAUAAAGUAGAAUGUUCAUUCAAAUAAUGCUAACUGAUGUGGCUCAUGUAAUGGAAUGUAUUUUUUCUAAUGUCAGUUGAGUUGACUCAACAAAUCACAGUGCAGAUUGAAGGGUACGCUUAUGAGAAUGGUGGGCUGAAUUUUCUGGAAUUUACUACUUUAAAUAAUACUUUUAAGAUCAAUUGCAUAAAACAAUUCCUAAGAAGACCCACUUCUAUCUGGAAUUUUAUUCCUCAUCAUGUCUUCUCUACUUUUGGUGGCCCUAACUUCAUGUUGUUUUGCAAUUAUAAUAUUGACAAAAUUCCAGUGAAAUUUUCUGCUUUUCAUCGUCAGGUUUUCUUGCCACCAUGGCUUUUUUUUGCCUUUACCUCCCUUAUCUCACCUCAUUUGCCCACAUCAUAUAUAGACUUCUUUAUACUGUAUUAUUGACUGUAUGUUUGUUUUACUCCAUGUGUAACUCUGUGUCGUUGUAUCUGUCAAACUGCUUUGCUUUAUCUUGACCAGGUCGCAAUUGUAAAUGACAACUUGUUCUCAACUUGCCUACCUGGUUAAAUUAAAUAAAAAUGUAUAAACACAAUUUUUCUCCACACAGAUAUUAUAUAUGGAAUAAUCGGGAUAUAUUGUUUAAAAAUACUUCUUUGUUUUUAGAAUAUUGAUUCUGAAAUAAUAUCCUAUUGGUGAGCCAACUGGUAAAUGCAGAGGGUCUUUUACUCAGUUUUAAGGAAUUCUUAUCACUUUACAAGGUCCUUCUAACACCUAAAGAUUUUGCAAUUAUUUUAGAUGCCUUUCCCUCAGGUGUUGCUCUGUUAUUCAGGAACGUGUCAAGACCUGACCCUCAGAGCCUACCUUCUAUUGACCCUGUUGACUCAUCAGUAGGAAAGAUUUGUUUCUCUUUUGGUCCAUUCAACAACAGAGCAAUACGAACCUUGUUUCAGCAGGAUGUUGUAUCUAUUUAUGUCAUGUCUUAUUAGAAUGGAUUUAUUGAUAAUAUCUGUUGGAAAAAAGUUUGGAUGUUGCCACACACAUUGUUAACAAAAUGAAGGAAGUUUCCUUUAAAAUUAUUCAUAAAUAUUAUCCUGCCAACCACCAUAUGAAGAAGGUUAAGGAAAACAUCAACUCAAAUAGCUCCUUUUGUAAUGACCACCCAGAAACAGUGUUGCAUCUUUUUUGGCAUUGUAUUCAUGAAAGAAAACUGUGGCAAGACAUCAGAAGGUUUAUAAUUUAUUUAUGAAGAUUUAUGAAGAUUUUACACUUGUGGAGAGAUGUACUGCUUGGAUUCUUUACAUACAAUAGAAAUAAGCUGAAACAUUUUUAUGUAAUUUAUUUCAUUAUUCUUUUGGCCAAAUUUCAUAUACACAAAUGUACAUUUACAAACAAAAAAACAAAUUUUCUUACCCUACAAAAAUAAAUGGAACUGUAUUUUAAGACCGUUCAAUACUCUACUAAUAAAAAAUAACUUGCACAAUUGGUGGCUGACUAAAUACUUUUUUGCCCCACUGUAUAUACUUGUGC